UACAUUUUUAUGGAAGAUUGCUCAGUGACAGGGCAGGUAGUCCUUCAAGUAUGAGAAAGGAAAGGUAAGAUCCUUACACAUUUCACUCAACUGGAUUUUGGGCUAAUGAUUUUUAGACCUGCUGCACUAACUAGCUACACAUGGUAUAUACUCACCUUUGAACUGGACUGUGGGAUGACUUCUUAAAUUAGCCUCACAAAGACUUUUACCACUGGCAUCAUGUACUGGGAACACUGGUUGUCCUGCUUUCCAUAAAAGUUCUAAUUAAUUUGAUUUUAACAACACUGUUUACUAACUCCUAGCCAUUUUUAACUUAUAGAAGCAGAUGUUUAACUUAAGCUGUCAUGAAUUUAAUGAAUUAAAAAACAACCAUUUAAGCUGUAAGACCAAAAUAAAUCAACACUAAUAGCAGAAGCAUUAGAGAGGAAAUCUAUAAUGAUUCAAAGGUUAUUCUCAAAAGUGUAAAAAGGAUAGCAACAGCAAGUUUUAUAAGUAACAUUUUGCUACAUUACCACACAUUUAGUUAUGGAAGGUUGAAACUGUGUCUUGCUGGGAAUCCUCAUUAAUCUUAGGCUUUGUUCACUCAUUUUCAGUUUUCUGCCCUAAAAGGGUACGCAUUCUGCCGGACACAAAAUUCUCUUCCAUUGUUAGUGAGGCUCGGUGUAUUGUCUGCUCAAAAGCUGGCAGAUAGAAAGAAUAAAAUGAAAAAAACGGAGUUAUGGUGCAGUUUUCUGAAAAAGUGAGGUAGAAAAGCUAUGUACUCUGAUUCAGAAUUUCUGAUGGCAGGGAAAAAAAAUAAUAGACCCAGUAUCUACUGAUCAUGAACUGAGGAUAAAAGUUGCUUCCAAAAGAAUGAAAGUGAAGACUAACGAAGAUGCUUAUUAUAUAAAAUAAACACAAUGUAUGAGGUUUUACUGAGGAGAAAAUAAAAUUAAUUAUUGCCUAGGAUGGACAAUACUUUCUAAUGCUGUAAAUCCAAACAUCAUUAUCCUGGUCUUUAACAUGAUAUUACAAGGCUAGCAGUGUACAUGGGAGAAGAUUCAUAGCAUUUUGGCUUCCACAGAAUUAGUUUAACACAUGGAAAUUCUCAUAUUUAAACCAUAACCAAAUUAUGCAGGCAAGUGGCCCAAAUUAACAUCAUAUGUGCUCCAAAUUCUGAAUUUUUAGUUCAAUAAAUAACACUCUUGCAGAUUACAAAAUUACAACUACCUAAAAUUACUACUAAUUAUUACUAACCAAUCAUACUCUUAGAGAUAAUCUGGAAUUAUGAAAAGGGAGAUCUGAAUUGCUUGAGACUUUUAUGGAAUAGUUGUGUGUGGAAGGAAAAUGCUUGAAGAGUGCUAAAAAUCUCACUGCAGAAAACCUGUGAUGCAUGCGGUCAUAGCCCUGAAAACCAUUUUUUACUUCAUGCUUUGUGUUGAGAUGCUCCUUUGUGGAGUAAAAUCCUUUUUUUGCACUUGACAUAGGUUCUAGAUUGUGAAGAUAAGUGAUGCUGAUGAUUUUGUCCACUUGAGUCAAUAAAUAACAAAGGAAAGUAUGCACUGUGCUGCUGAAGACAGAAAUUUGAAUUCUGUAGAUACCCGCUUUUCCAUAAACUAUCUGAUUAUAUCACUGGCAAGCAUCUUAGAAAUAACUAAUCCUAUUUCAAGGUUUGUUUUUGUUUGUGUUGUUUUGUUUUUCUUUACUGGGAUUAGUCAUUAAUCUUGAAUGGCUACUUGGCAGGGUAAAGGUGCAGAAUAACCAGUGGAGAAAACGGUGCAGUGGAGUGAAGAAGUCGCUGGGCCAACGUACUGAAAUCCUGAACUGCCCUUUGGGAUGGCAGUGAGGCAGCAGGCUCUGGCAAGUGAUCUGUUCCUGUGGCUUAGCCCCAGAACCGUCCCUGGAGCAGCCAGUUUUCAGAGUUAACAGCCUUCCAAUUUUUGGAUAUAAAGAAGAUAGAUGACUGAGUUCAAAUAAUUCCUCCUCUGAAUUGUUUCAGCCAUAGAACAAGUUUUGAGAUGAAGUUACUCUUGGGAGGCAAGAAUUGAAAAUAGCUGUGCUGGGUGUACAUGGCAAGAUGUUGGCAGUGGGGAGGCUGUAGUGGUGGCCUCUGUGAGAAGAGGCCAGCAGCUGCCUCUGUGUUGGACACAGCCAGCCCCAAUGGACCCACUGCUGGACAGGACUGAGCCCAUCAGCCAAGCCGGUGGUGCCUCUGGAAAGUGUAUUAGAGAAAGGGUACAAAAUGCUGCACAGAAGCUGCGAGAGAGGAGUGAGAAGAACAUGUAAGAGAAACAGCUCUGCAGACAGCAAGGUCAGUGACUAAGGAGGGGGAGGAGGUGCUCCAGGCGCUAGAGCAGAGAUUCCCGUGCAGCCUGUGGUGAAGACCAUGGUGAGGCAGGCUGUCCGCCUGCAGCCCAUGGAGGUCCACGGUGGAGCAGAGGUCCACCUGCAGCCUGUGGAGGACCCCACGCCGGAGCAGGUGGGCAUGUCUUGAGGAAGCUGCAGCCUGUGGAGAGCCUGUGCUAGUGCAGGCUCCUGGCAGGACCUGUGGCCUGUGGAGAGGAGCCCACGCCAGAGCAGGUUUUCUGGCAAGAACUGCAGCCUAUGGGGUACUCGCACUGGAGCAGUCUCUCCUUGAAGAACUGCAGCCCAUGGGGAGGACUCACGUUGGAGCAGGGGAAAAGUGUGAGGAGGAAGGAGCAGCAGAGAUGGAGUGUUAUGAACUGAUCACAACCCCCUUUCCCCAGCUCCUUCAACUGCUCAGGGUGGGGUGGAGGAGGUAGAAGAUUAAGGAGGGAAGUUGAGCCUGGGAAGAAGAGAGGGGUGGGAGGAAGGUAUUUUUGGUUUUGUCUUUUGUUUGUCACCAUCCUACUCCAUUUUUAAUUGGCAAUAAAUUGAUUUUCCCGAGGUUAAGUCUGUCUUGCCUGUGUUGGUAAUCGGUAAGCAACCUUCCUGACUUUCUCAAUUGAUGAACUUUCUCAUCAUACGUUCUCCCCCAGUUCUGUUGAAGAGGGGGACUGAGAGACCAGCUGGGUGGGCAUUUGGCAGCCAGGCAAGGUUAACCCACCACAAUAGCAUAAGGAUAUAUUCUAUUCAACAGCCUUGUGUAUAUUUUUUUCUUCCCUUGGCUAGCAUAAUUUUGUAUGCAAUUGAAAAUUAUGUGAUUAUAUGAAAAUCAAAGUUCACAAGGCAGAGAGACUAGCAAGUGACACCUGAGUCUUUGACAUCUUUCAUUCUCCCAAGUUAAAUGUCAUUUCAGAGCUCUAAGAACAGUCUCUGUUUUCUGAACCCAUGUUCAACCAAAGGAACAGGUCGUCUUUUCCUAGGCUUUUUGUUUUUGUAGUGGAGCUUUCAAUCUAUGCCAAUUUUCUGGUGAUGUUUCUUUCUCAGUGCAAAAACCACACCAUGUUUUAACUGUCUUACCUCCUAAUUAUUUCUCUGUUUCUAAUGGUUUUAAAAUUAGAAAGCAUGAGAAUAAAGGCAUGGGGACGUUAUGUAUUCUGGGUAUGUCUGUGCAAGGGGAAGGUCUUUGGGAUUUUAUAGUGGUUAGACAAAGCAUGUACAAUAUAAAUGACAGUAAAUCUCAGCCUUAAAAUAACAUUCCCUUUACGCAAACAGCACAACCAGAGAUUUCCUAUGAAAAUGACCAUGCUAGACAGAAGACUCUCUCUGGAGACUAUCUGCAAACCCCUGAGACAAGUGACUGGAGUGGGGUCAAUGUUUUCUGCCAAAACUCCAAUUAGGAGCGCCUACUAGCAACAUAGGUGCAUUGGCAGCUUGCUUAUUUGCAGAAAAGCAUUCUAGCUUUCAGCCCUGUAACACUUACAUCGGCUUGGCUUUUUUUUUUUUUUCCCCAGGACCUGUUCCUUUAUUUGCUAAUGAAGGAAGGUACACGGUGGGAAACUGUAAUGGGGGCAAUACAAAACAAGGCUGAGUACUCAAAGCAUGCUCUGUGUUGGUCUUACACGUGAAUCUGUAAUGAACAUAAUAAUCUAAUGAAUCAAUAGGUCAUUUCAAGUAUCUCUUUUAAAGGUGAAGCUGGAAAAAAUAUUAGGCUGAAAUGAUGCCAUUAUACAUGACAGGCUUUUUAGUAGUGCCAUCUGCCCUUCUAUAAAUAAGAAGAACAUAAUCCUUUUAUUCUUUAAAAUACAACUCUUUCAACUUACCAGAACUAAUAUUGUGAAUGAACACUUUGAAAUGCUUGGAUUAAUUAAAUUGUUCAAUCUAGCUAGAAUAGAGGCUGCUAACAAGAUUAGCAGGAGUAGAUGCAGACUGUCUUCUCCAUGACUGAAGCCUCUUAUUCAAGUUUUGCCAGAAGAGGAUAUGUUUAUAUAGCGGAGGCCAUUUACUUUUAUAUAUGCCUACCAAAUUACUUACACAAAGCAACUGAAACUACUACCAAAACUCUGGAGUCCCUCUUUGUGAGAGAUUCAUUGUGACAAUCAGGUCUCCCUCUUCCAUCAGAAGCUCUGGGAACAAAUAGGAUUAGAUGGUGGUUGCUAGUGACUACAGAGGACUAAGCUGGAUUCUGCAGGAAGUCUCACACAGCCUUACACUUCUCAUAAGGCAUAGCGUAGGUAUGCAAGAUCUAAUGUUGGAUGAUUCUGACCCUGGAAGGGAUGGACCUACUCUGAGGUCUCAUCACAAAAAAUGUCUACUUAACUACAUUAAACUGCUGAAAGGCUAAAGAGUGAAGUGGAAAGAGUGUCUGAACUCAAAUGAACUUGAGCAGAAUUUUAUUACAGCAUUUUUCCACUGCUGCAGGGACAAAUGUGCCAUGUUGCCAUGCUGCUGCUGCUGUAUUAGAUGACUCUGAAUUGCUUCCCUGUUUGGAAGUCAGAAAUGCUACAGCACUGAUAUUUAGACUAUCUAAUGCUAUUUGGCAAUUUGAUACACACUAGCCAGGAUAAAGUUAGACGCAAAGGGUCGUUGAAUCACGCUUUUCAUGCUGCAAGGAGAAAUUCAUAGACCUUUGCUAUUUUCCCAAUGUUCAGCACUGCUGUAAUUUCAAACCCAGGGAACAAUGUGAAGAAUGUAGCCCUAGUUGUUGCACUUUUUGUAAUAAAUUUCUUGCUUAGUUAGACUCUAUUAAUAGGUUUGAGUAUUUCCUAAAUAAAAGAAAAAAAUACUCCUUGCAGUCUCUCAAAUACAGCUAAUUUAUAAGUCUUUGUAAUGGUAUUCUUUCCUCCUUGCUGUAUGUGUUAUUGUUUAUUUUGGUCAAGAACGCAUAUUAAGCGGGGACCCAGGGGUAUGUUCCAAAUGUUGGUAUAACAAUUGUAAAGUAUAAGAAUUAUUACCUGUUAUUUGUAACAAUCUGUUGCUUAAAAAAGGGGGAUAUUCCUUACCUAAACAGUAUCUUCUGUACUAAAACAUUUUGGUUAACUGGUAGCUGUUACAGCUCUCAUUCAGUCCUGACUUGAUGUUGGAUGUCUUUGUGGUAAGAAUGAUAAGCUGCGUCCCAGUAUCUCUCUUAUCCAGGGAAAGCAAGAUUCCCUCACAGCUAGCCUUUGAUGUCUGUUGUUAGGCAUUAGACAGUUUGAGUAACAGUAAUAAAAUUGUAAUUUAAAGAACCUAUGCACUACUUAAUUGGUUAAUUUUCCUACCUGAAAAAAAGAUACUGUUAUUUUUUUGUGUGUAGGUUACAUAGGGGAAGUAGAUCCAAGAACAGUCAUGAAGGAACAUUCACAAAGUACUUGUAUUACUGCUGACUGUGUAAUAAUGACCCAUGUGUUUGGGUCUCCUGAUGCCAGCUGAGGAAACAGUGUACCAAAUGUGGCAGCUCUAAGAAGUGCUAUGAAUAUCCAGUAACUAUUUUAGUUGGCAGAUUGUGUAUGGUAAAAUUGAAAAUUUUUUGGCUCAGUAUUUCUUUGUGCACUGGUUUCUUUUCACAGCUCAUUGGUUAAUGUAUUGGGUUGAGACUAAGAAGAUUUCUUUCACUUUUUUUUCACUGUGUACACUGUGGAGAGUAAUUUUACCUGUUUUCUCAUUAAUAACUCAGAUUAUAAAAACCCUUUCCUGUAAAGCAUAUUGAUAUGUACUGUGAAAGUGAAUUAAAAAAAAAAAAAUCUAGUUGUGUCAAUGACUGCUAUAUAUUUAACUCUUUAA